rnacentral:rRNA from 1 species
UACGUAGGGGGCGAGCGUUGUCCGGAUUUAUUGGGCGUAAAGAGCUCGUAGGCGGUUUGGUAAGUCGGAUGUGAAAUCUCCAGGCUCAACCUGGAGGGGUCAUUCGAGACUGCUAUGACUAGAGUUCGGUAGAGGAGUGUGGAAUUCCUGGUGGAGCGGUGAAAUGCGCAGAUAUCAGGAGGAACACCGGUGGCGAAGGCGGGUCUCUGGGCCGAUACUGACGCUGAGGAGCGAAAGCGUGGGGAGCGAACAGG